AUGGAGAUAUGUUCAUUUUGGAAAUGUACAUUUAAUCAAAGAAAAUAUAUUUUAAUUAUUUAAGUUGAUAAAUCAAAUUAACAACACAAGGCAAACUCUGUAUACAUUUUCACUUCUUCUUGAAGCCACCUUUAACUUGUGCCGAGACAUCUUCU